UGCCGAAUCAACUAGCCCUGAAAAAUGGAUGGCGCUGAGCGUGACGCUCAUACCCGGCCGUCGGCGGCAGUGCAGUAUACCCCGACGAGUAGGAGGGACGCCGUGGUGAGCAACGAAGCGACGGCCGAGAGGCCGCGCGGAGCCGCCUCGGGCGCAGAUCUUGGUGGUAGUAGCAAAUACUCAAGUGAGAGCCUUGAGGGCCGAGUCGUGGAGAAGGGUUCCAUGUGAACAGCCGUUGCACAUGGGUCAGUCGAUCCUAAGGCCUAGGGUAGUUCCGCUCUGAGCGGCGGCGCGCGCCCACCUCGCUGUGGGCAAGCGCUCCCUGGCCGAAAGGGAAUCGGGUCAAUAUUCCCGAACCUGAAGGUGGAGCCCGCCGCCAAUAGGCGGUCAGAGCUGUAAAGCUAUAGAGCCCGGAGACGCUGACCGGAGCCCCGGGAAGAGUUGUCUUUUCUUUGUAAGGGGCGCGGCUCCCUGAAACCGACUGGAUCGGAGAGAGGGACCGCGGCCCCGUAGAGCGCCGCGUCUGGAGCGCCGUCCGGAGUUGCACCGGUCAGGCCCUUGAAAAUCCGGGGGACGAGCGUGGACUCUCACCUCAGAUCGUACCCAUAACCGCAGCAGGUCUCCAAGGUGAACAGCCUCUGGUCAAUAGAACAAUGUAGGUAAGGGAAGUCGGCAAGCCGGAUCCGUAACUUCGGGAUAAGGAUUGGCUCUGAGGACUGGGUCGGUCGGGCCGGGGCUGGAAGCAGGCACGGACCCUCAGCGUGACUGGGCGAGCCGGUCGAAAGCCCGCCUCGCGGCGGCGCCGAAUACCUCAUACCCGGACUUUGCAUUGGGUCCGGCUCGUGGACCGUCCUGGCUGCGCGGCAGCCUCGC
rnacentral:rRNA from 1 species